CAGUAGCCACGGGAACACCAGCAGCCCAAGUGGUGGUCGCGUUUAUUGGGCCUAAAGCGCUCGUAGCCUGGCCGGUAAGUUCCCCGUGAAAUCGGGUCGCCCAACGAUUCGGCUUGCGGGGAAUACUGUCGGUCUUGGGGCCGGGAGACGCCGAGGGUACUCCGGGGGUAGCGGUGAGAUGCUGUAAUCCUCGGGGGACUACCAGUGGCGAAGGCGCUCGGCGAUAACGGGCCUGACGGUGAGGGGCGAAAGCUGGGGGCGCGAACGGGAUUAGAUACCCCUGUAGUCCCUGUCUCUUAUA
rnacentral:rRNA from 1 species